rnacentral:rRNA from 1 species
ACUCCUACGGGAGGCAGCAGUGGGGAAUAUUGCCACAAUGGGCGCAAGCCUGAUGCAGCCAUGCCGCGUGUGGUGAAGAAGGCCCUUCGGGUUGUAAAGCACUUUCAGUUGUGAGGAAGGUUGGUGUCGUUAAUAGCGGCAUCCAUUUGACGUUAGCAACAGAAGAAGCACCGGCUAACUCCGUGCCAGCAGCCGCGGUAAUACGGAGGGUGCGAGCGUUAAUCGGAAUUACUGGGCGUAAAGCGCAUGCAGGUGGUUUGUUAAGUCAGAUGUGAAAGCCCGGGGCUCAACCUCGGAACUGCAUUUGAAACUGGCAGACUAGAGUACUGUAGAGGGGGUAGAAUUUCAGGUGUAGCGGUGAAAUGCGUAGAGAUCUGAAGGGAAUACCGGUGGGCGAACGNGGCCCCCCUGGACAGAUACUGACACUCAGAUGCGAAAGCGUGGGGA